rnacentral:rRNA from 1 species
AGAGCGAACGUUAGCGGCGGGCCUAACACAUGCAAGUCGCGCGAGAAAGGGACUUCGGUCCUGAGUACAGCGGCGGACGGGUGAGUAACACGUAGGUAACCUGCCCUUUAGUGGGGGACAACGGUCCGAAAGGACCGCUAAUACCGCAUAAGUUUCUCGGGACUUUGGUCCUGGGAAGGAAAGCCUCGCAAGGGGCGCUGAAGGAGGGGCCUGCGUCGCAUCAGCUAGUUGGUGGGGUAAUGGCCUACCAAGGCGAAGACGCGUAGCUGGUCUGAGAGGAUGAUCAGCCACACUGGGACUGAGACACGGCCCAGACUCCUACGGGAGGCAGCAGGUGGGAAUAGUGGACAAGUGGGGGACAACCCUUGACUCCAGCCACGCCGACGUGAGUGACUGAAGGCCUUCGGGUACGUAAAGGUCUCGUGGUGGGAGGAACGGAACGGUCCGGGUAGAAAGAAGUCCGGGUAG